GUUGUGGCCCGGUAGUCCAGUGGUUAGCACGUCGGCUUCACAAUGCACAGGUACCGGGUUCGAUUCCAGCUCCGGCCUCCCUGUGUGGAGUUUGCAUGUUCUCCCCGGGCCUGCGUGGGUUUUCUCCGGGUGCUCCGGUUUCCUCCCACAUUCCAAAAACAUGCAUGGCAGGCUGAUUGGACGCUCUAAAUUGUCCCUAGGUGUGAGUGUGAGUGCGAAUGGUUGUUCGUCUCUGUGUGCCCUGCAAUUGGCUGGCAACCGAUUCAGGGUGUCCCCCGCCUACUGCCCGAAGACAGCUGAGAUAGGCUCCAGCACCCCCCCGCGACCCUAGUGAGGAUCAAGCGGCUCGGAAAAUGAAUGAAUGAAUGAAUAAGGUCAAAGGAACAUACUGCUGGCCGGCUAUCACCCCUAUUACGGAUUUUCAUCUCAACAAAGUGAAGUUGAAACAGCAAACAGACGAGCCAACAUGUUUGGGAGCGCAAUGGAUGCAACUCUAAUCCAAUAUUUCCAACCUUGAUUGACCCAAGGCACUUAUUUUACAUCAGAAAAACAAAAAAAAUCUCACCGCUGAGCGAAAAUGUCAAAAAUAGGAUCAAAAUUGAAAUGAUAUUGAGUUUCUCUCAAGUUCCUCCAAAACUACAUGACAUAUUCUGCUAAAUGAACAGCAACAGGUGGAUUCUCUGGUUUAGUGCAGCGUCUAAUUGAACACCAUUUGAUUGGUGUGCCUGUCGAUGUAUGUACAUCGCUGGCAUAGACAGAUAAAUAAAUGUAUUCGUCAUGAAUAAAUAACAUUUUGGAGGCGGCCACUUUCACGGGAAGUCAACCCAAAAAUGUUCUUAACAAAAUGAAAAGUUCCAUGUAGUCCAAACAUGGUGUCAGAAUAGGCUUUUUUUUUUUUUAAACCUCUCUGAACCUCUGUGUGGCUGCUACUGUCUAAAGACGGGCGUGGACGCACAAUUUGUAGUUGUUCCACAUUCCUGUGUGUGACCGGUGUGUGGUGCCAUGGUUGUUUUUUAGUUUUUUUGGGGGGGGGGGGUACCCAAAAAUGCACCUCACGAUGAAAUGCAAAGUAUACUGUAAAUAGUCACCUUGGUUCAUGUAAAAAAAAAAAAUAAUAAUAAUAAAAAAGACAGAAAAAUAAAAUUUCACCAUCCAGUUGUUCUCAAAAUGAAAAGUUGCUGCGUUACCAUGGAAACAAGCUGAAGCCAUUGAUAGGUCACAGGAGAGAGUUUGGGAGGUAAAAAUAUUUAUUUCUCACAUUUUCCUAUACAAAAGCCCUUUUUGAAAAGGUCCGACUUCAUACAUUGCAGGAAUGACAAUCAUAAUUAUUAACAAUAAUAAUAAUAAUAAUAAUAAUUAAUGCAUAGGCUACUUGUCCAAUUAUAAACACACUCACACACACAGACGCGCGCGCACACACACACACACAUGCACGUACAAACACACACACGCACACACACAUGGGGGGGGGUCUGUGUAUGUGAUAUCCAAAAUACAUUGCUUAUAAGAAGUAGUAUAGGUCCCUUUUGACUGAUAUUGUUAAGAUAAAAGUAAUGUUCGUGGCGCAUUAGAAAUUGCAGGUUCCCUUUUUCAGCUGGAAGUCGGUGGAUGUUAACGCCGUCUGUAUUAAUUUACAUACAAUAUCUUGACAUCCACCAAUUUUUGGUCUGUUUGGCUUCAGAAGCAAUUCAAGAACACACAGAGUUGAAAUGUCCCUGUGUUUGAUUUCAAGCAGUCACUUGUUUUUUGG